AAAAUACGAAAAGUAAUAUGAAUUGCAGAAACGAAUCAUCGAAUCUUUGAACGCACAUUGCGCCCUCUGGCAUUCCGGGGGGCAUGCCUGUCCGAGCGUCAUUACGCACCCUCAAGCCCGGCUUGUGUGAUGGGCCCUGGCGUCUCGUUCGCGAGACGGGCCCGAAAGGCAGCGGCGGCGUCGACCCGAUGAGCCCGAGCGUAUGGGGACUUUUGUCACACGUUUGCGGUGCGGACCGGCGCCUGCUUGACUUUUCUGAUUAUCCAGGUUGACCUCGGAUCAGGUAGGGAUACCCGCUGAACUUAAGC
rnacentral:misc_RNA from 1 species